AACUGAUUGCCCUGUACAGAGAGAAGGCCUUACGGACAGGCAAGACAGCAGAGGCCGAGAGAUCUUCAGGAUUUAUGAGCGCCAUGAACAACAUGAUGUAAACAUGAGGCGCAGUCUGGCCCUUCGUGCCCUUCCGGUGUACCUAAGAGAGGAUGACUGAGUUCUUCAAGACCUGGAAUCAAGAAGAUGAGCCAGAUAUUGCUGACACUCCUGUGGGUCUCCUUACUGUGGUCACUGACAACACAACCCAUUUCAGCCCCAAGAGCAUUUCUAUUGUCAUCAAAGACGAUAUUGUUCUGAGUGAUCUCCCUAGGUUGACCAAUGUUAAGUUUUUAGAGAACUGUUCAGGAAUCAGUGUUCUUAACUCCUGCUUUUAAAAUAAAUCAGGCUGUGUCAUUUUGUUUUAUUUUCUCAUCUUAAUGGCAUUGCUAGAGAUUUCUAUCUCUAGCAAUGCCAACCAAUGCUAACCCUAUUGCCCAGCCCAAGUUUUUGUACUGCAUAACUUGUGGGAAACGACUGUUCAGUUCAUGAACUAUACAUGUUUAAUGUUCUGUUGCC